UAGAAUAUAUUUCAAAAGUAUAGCCGGACGGCUAUACGAUUUAAAAAUUAAUACAGUUCAAGAGUAUAGCCGACCGCCUAUACUUUUUACAUAUUAAUAC
rnacentral:miRNA from 1 species